GAUGAGAACGUAGCGAAAUGCGAUAAGUAAUGUGAAUUGCAGAAUUCAGUGAAUCAUCGAAUCUUUGAACGCACCUUGCGCUCUUUGGUAUUCCGAAGAGCAUGCCUGUUUGAGUGUCAUGAAAAUAUCAACCUUGACUUGGGUUUUGUGCUCUAGUCUCGGCUUGGAAUUGGGUGCUUGCCGCUUUUACGAGCGGCUCACCUUAAAUGUAUUAGCUGGAUCUGUCUUUGAGACUUGGUUUGACUUGGCGUAAUAAGUAUUUCGCUAAGGACAUUCUUCGGAGUGGCCUCGUUUCUAGGACGCUUGUCCGCUUUCCAAUACAAGUUCCACCUCGUGGACAUGACUUUUUAUUAUCUGGCCUCAAAUCAGGUAGGACUACCCGCUGAACUUAAGCAUAACAAUAAGCGGAGGA
rnacentral:misc_RNA from 1 species